CCAGACUCCUACGGGAGGCAGCAGUGGGGGAUAUUGCACAAUGGGGGGAACCCUGAUGCAGCGACGCCGCGUGGGUGAAGGAGUGCUUCGGCAUGUAAAGCCCUAUCGGCAGGGAAGAAGCAAGACGGUACCUGACUAAGAAGCCCCGGCUAACUACGUGCCAGCAGCCGCGGUAAUACGUAGGGGGCAAGCGUUAUCCGGAUUUACUGGGUGUAAAGGGAGCGUAGACGGCAGUGCAAGUCCGGAGUGAAAGCCCGGGGCUCAACCCUGGGACUGCUCUGGAAACUGUAAAGCUGGAGUGCGGGAGGGGCAGGCGGAAUUCCUGGUGUAGCGGUGAAAUGCGUAGAUAUCAGGAGGAACACCGGCGGCGAAGGCGGCCUGCUGGACCGUAACUGACGUUGAGGCUCGAAAGCGUGGGGAGCAAACAGGAUUAGAUACCCUAGUA
rnacentral:rRNA from 1 species